rnacentral:tRNA from 1 species
CUCCGCUGGGGCCCGCCGCCCGCCCUCGGUUGCCGUCCGAGGGCGGUUCCCGUUCACCACGGUGCGACGUCGUGGGCGGUGCC